rnacentral:lncRNA from 1 species
CUAUAAUUGUUGAGGUUGUGAUAAGGUCUACCAAGGCAAGGUCAUGAAUAGGGGAGGUGAGCAUUGCUUUUGCUGCCUCCAUCCACCCACAUGCCUCAAGUGCCAUUGAGCAAGCAAUCUCUGUCGAGGUGCACAAUGAUACUCUAACUGCUGCUCCCUCUAUCACCACUUUGUUGCCAAGAAGCCCACCUAAUACCAAGCAGGCACAAAAAGCCAUACCAAAGGCAACCCCCAAGGCAUUCCAACCUUUGGAGAUCACACC